AGUCGCUCAGUCCUGUCCGACUCUGAGCGACCCCACGGACUGCGGCCUACCGGGCUCCUCUGUCCAUGGGAUUUUCCAGGCAAGAGUACUGGAGUGGGGUGCCAUCGCCUUCUCCGAGAGGGAGGUACAAGGAACCAUAAUUUAAGUUCUGGGCUCUCCUUAACUCAGAGACAAAUUCCCUUUACACAGACAUCUGCUCACCAAGUACGGGGACAAAGGUGAAGCAACAGGAAGAGUCCUGGAUUUGCAGAUCAGGAAACUGGAUCUGAAGGCCAACGCUGCCCUCCACUCACUCCCAGCAGGUGUGGCCCUUCUUCCCCCAUCUCUCUGGCCUUUGUUCCCCAACCACUGCAAAGGGCACAUCAGACCAAGAGCACUCAGAUUCCCCAAGCUGGAAGGCUCUGGGGUUUUCUCUUCCCAUGGAAAGGACUUAUCCUCUUCUACGGUAACAUUCUGGAAUAGCUUGCAAGCUUCAUGGACAGUUCUUACUCCUGAGAAAUGUAUCCUGUGAACCUUGAGGGACAAACUCUCUGGAGAAUAUGAACUUUGUUUAACAUCUUUUCAUUGCCAGAAGUCUGCGAUCCUGAAGAGCGGAGUAUGGCCCCUCCAAGGCCCCUCCCAGUAGGAGUACUGGGGUUCUGAUCUUUAUGAUUUCUUUCCUUCUACUAACUUUGGGUUUUGCUUGUUCUUCUUUAUCUAGUUCCUUCAGGUGUAAGAUUAGAUUGAGAUUUUUCUUGUUUCCUGAGUUUAUUUUCCCAGAAGCAGUGCAUGAGAGGACCAGUUUUCCCAACAUCUUUGCCAAUACUUAAUUUAUCAAUCUUUGUAAUGCUUGCCAGUGAACAGGGAAAUUGAAACUAGAGAAAGUGACUUCUCCAAGGUUAUACUACUAAUCCCCUACAAGUCCAGGAUUACAACUUCCGUCACCUGACUUCCAAUCCGUUCCAUUUCCAGAGCCAUUCUGUGGGCAAGGCCUGCGCCAGCCCAGACAGGUCAAAGGGCAGGAUUCCAAGCCGUUGAGAUGGUCUCUGGAGAAGCCUGGAAUUUCCCUGUGUCACAAGUGUGGCAGAAAGAGGCAGGCUUGGGGUUGCCAGCACCCCAGGUUCCCUUGGCAAGUGGAGCAUCUCUCAGGAUGGGAAGGGGCCCCCACCUCUUUGGUGACCCUGGCCACUGGUUCCUGAAUCUCUGGUUUCAAGAGCCUUGAGCAGCUUAUGUCACAGGAGCAUGGAGUCAUCACAGAGUAUUUGCAUCCAAAAUACAUUUUCCUUCACAACAGUGCCCGGGUCAGAGUAAGCGAAGGCGAUUCUGUGCACUUUGGUGAAUCAGUGAGGGGUCUGUACCAUAACUGGGUCUUUAGAUCUGACUGUUAUGUUCCCUAUGUGAUUCGCAUCAGAGAGCACUGCAGAGUUCCUGGAGAAUCCCCUAGCAGACCCUACCAGGAAAUGGGGUUCCACAGAGGUGACUGUGGUGAAUGACUAAAGACCACUCCAAGGGUAAACUUAAAAAAAAAACUCCAAGACUAAAUACCACUUAAAAUAUGUUUUUUAUAAUUUAAAUGUAAAGCUUCCUAAAAACAAGUACUCAGCUAAUAUUCUUAAGCAAAUAAAUGGAGCAAACAGUGAA